ACACCUGCUUUUCUGGAAAACCUGGAAGCCAUUGGCAGGGCUGUCUGGACCCCUCCUCCAGUCCUCCCAAGGCCUUGCCUGGACACAAGUGACAUCUACAUAGACAGCCACACUGGUGGAACACAAGGGGGAGGGGUGGGGAUUCGGUGUGGCCUCAGUUGUUCUCAAAUUACAUGAUAAAGUAGAUGUAGUGGAUCCUUUACACCAAAAGGAGUUGUGGAGUCCAGUUAUAAGAAUCCAUAACAUGUUAGCAGGACUCAUUGUAGCCUCCUCCUCAGAAGAGCCGAGGAACUCAGCCACACCCUUAAAGGCAAGGUGAUUGCACUACAGUUAGUUGACCUAUCUGGAAAAUUAAAGCUUCCCUGUGGUUUGAGGUUCUGCUCCUUUCUUUCUUUUUUUUUUUUUUUUUUUCUUUUUGGAAUUCUUACAAGUUUUUGUUUUUGUUUUGUUUUUUACCACCCUUGAGAUCCAGGUGAGGCUUUUGCUUGGAGUAGUUUGUGCAUCCUAUGGAGACAGGUUAUCAGGGUUGUGCUAACACUGUGCACUUCGGUCUGGGGUGGGGGGUUAGGUAGGUGUUGGGGUGCAGUGGGGGGAAAUUCUGCUUGAAGUCUGCAUGGGCCAAUGCCGAAUUCAGACUUGGCUGCCAAACCCAUCACGAGUCCGUGCUGUGCAAAGGGAGCAGACCCGAGGCAAGGAAUCCGAGCACUCAGAUGUGUUCGCACGCACUCCUCCCUUGCAAAGUUGUGCGGUUCGCCGGGAGGAGCUCCUUCCCUUUGGCUCUUCUGGCCCAGACGUCUGUGGAGUCCAUGUGCAGCCAAGGGCAUCACUGGCCAGAAGUGAAAUUCUGGAAGCACGUCCCAGGGUUUGUCAAUUUCUCUGAAUGCCUGAGUAAUCCUGCACCAUUAAGUAGGCAAGCCAGAUCAGGAACUGCAGUGUGAUCCAAGUGUGAAUAGUGACUUGAAGGAGCAGCAGAGGAAAUGCAUCUUGAACUUUCCUGAGUGAUCGUCCCUCCAAGGCAAAAGUGAUGCAGGAUGGCCAGUGUAUCUCUGGGCCUGGACAAGGAGUGGGUAAGAUAAUUUUUUCCUGAACAAAAUUAUUUUUUUCUGUUUAUUUUCAUCUUUCCCUUUUAAAAUGUAUAGAUUUAGGUAAGUUCAUGUUCAUAUAUGUGUGUGUAUAUAUAUAUAUAUAUUUAUAUAUGUG
rnacentral:lncRNA from 1 species